GGGAGUAGUUCAGUGGUAGAGCGUCAGCUUCCCAAGCUGAAUGUCGCGGGUUCGAACCCCGUUUCCC
rnacentral:tRNA from 1 species